AAACAUGAGAGUUUGAUCCUGGCUCAGGAUGAACGCUGGCGGCGUGCCUAACACAUGCAAGUCGAACGAAGCACUUAUGAGGAUUCCUUCGGGAUGAAACAUUUGUGACUUAGUGGCGGACGGGUGAGUAACGCGUGGGUAACCUGCCUUAUACAGGGGGAUAACAGUUAGAAAUGACUGCUAAUACCGCAUAAGCGCACAGUCUCGCAU
rnacentral:rRNA from 1 species